CUUUCAAACCAAAAUGCAAAUGGAAAAUCUCUCACUCUGUUAGAUUAACAAAAGCAAGUUUAUAACAAUGUAAAAUCUAGGACGGUUGCACAACUCACUAGAACGAUAUUUGACGCGGGCCUUGUCAAUGAUGUUGAUAAAGACGGUGUUGAAGACAAAGUAGAAAACAAUAGUAUCUCCGACUAAACAAACAUUACAUAAAAGAAAAUAUUAUAGAACAAACAUUUACAUUUUACCCUGUAAAAAUAAAAAUAACAAAAAAUAAAAGAGAUCAGUAAGUUGAAAUUAACAUUUCAAUUUUAACUUAAAACGGCCAAGUCAAAUGUGGGUCUCCAUAUGUUCUUUUAGACUAGAUAUCCACAAAAAAAACUUUUCACAUUGGUCACAUGUAUACCUGAAUGAGUUAAGAGUAGAGCGUGUGUGAUACAAAAGUGACUACUUUCUCGAAAACUCAACGUCACAUUGGAAUUUAUCCACACCUUUGGAUGUCGUACAGUCAGCACAUGUCUCCUUGUGUCUUUUUAAAGACGAC
rnacentral:lncRNA from 1 species